UUUCAAUCAGAGUCUCAAACAAAACGUACACCUCUGGACUGAGCGGAUAUCAAACGUGUGUGUGUGUGUGUGAGAGACGCACCAGAGCAGGAAUCACCAGUUUGACAGGCACGGCUGACGAGUAUCUCCGGGAUUUCCUCACGGCAAACUUCUCCGUAGGGAUGGACUUCCCGGCCAGACGCUGCUUCAGUCCCUCCACCUGCCUGCGGCACACCAGAGAGAGCCGCGGACCAUCAGCCUCAGCAAACGCCGAGGAAUCUCACGAGAGACGCGGCAGACUCACCUGAACAACUCCACGAUACUCUCUCCGGUCGUCUUCACGUCCUGCUCGGACAUCAUGCUCAGGAUAGCAGCUUUCUGAUACACGUAGAUGGCCUGAGAGAGGAGAAACAGCUGAUCAUCGUACUGUACGCGCUCAAAAUACCUUCGAAAUCUCACUUGUUACCAUCAAUGACUUAAAAAAACAGGACCAGCGGCUCUCUCGGCACAGCAGGUCAGCGUAUCGGUACGCUUCCAUCCACUGCUGCUGGAACGAGUGACACCACAUCAGCUCCCAGUAGCACAGAUGAUGGACCUGACGCCACUGCUGCUGGGUCGCGAUACACUCCUGAAACUUCACCGCUGCCUGAGAGAUUCACAGCCGUUACAACACAAGACACGGAUCGCAUCUGAUGCCCAGUUCUCCUGGUCAGGUGUGUUUGUGUGGUGCAGUGGUUACCCAGGAUGAGAGAGACGUAAGUGUGGUAGAAGAGCAGCGUCAGGACACACAGGAUUGAUCUGAGACUGUGACUGCCGGCGCCGUCCCGCAGCUGCGACAGACCGAACUCCUGCAGGACAGACACCGUUAGUUCAACUCAUUCCGUCUGAACAGCUUAAUUUCCCAUCAGCAGCUACUCACUCGAUUCCCUGAGAAGCCGAUGAACUCCAGCAGUCGAAGGAUUCGUGCAGGUUGAAGGAGCCAAUCCCCAGCUUGACUCCGCCCUCAAACUGUCUGAAGGCCUCGCUGUCUCCGCCCACUCCCUGAGACAUGUUCAACACAUUCUGGCAGUCCCUAAACACACACACACACACACACACACACACACUUCAGC